rnacentral:rRNA from 1 species
AUUGAACGCUGGCGGCAUGCUUUACACAUGCAAGUCGAGCGGUAACAGGCCGCAAGGUGCUGACGAGUGGCGAACGGGUGAGUAAUGCAUCGGAACGUGCCCAGUCGUGGGGGAUAACGCAGCGAAAGCUGUGCUAAUACCGCAUACGAUCUAUGGAUGAAAGCGGGGGACCGUAAGGCCUCGCGCGAUUGGAGCGGCCGAUGUCAGAUUAGGUAGUUGGUGGGGUAAAGGCUCACCAAGCCAACGAUCUGUAGCUGGUCUGAGAGGACGACCAGCCACACUGGGACUGAGACACGGCCCAGACUCCUACGGGAGGCAGCAGUGGGGAAUUUUGGACAAUGGGCGCAAGCCUGAUCCAGCAAUGCCGCGUGCAGGAAGAAGGCCUUCGGGUUGUAAACUGCUUUUGUACGGAACGAAACGGUCUGGGUUAAUACCUCGGGCUAAUGACGGUACCGUAAGAAUAAGCACCGGCUAACUACGUGCCAGCCGCCGCAGUAAGAC